GAGUUUGAUUCUGGCUCAGGAUGAACGCUAGCGAUAGGCUUAACACAUGCAAGUCGAGGGGCAGCAUGAUCUUAGCUUGCUAAGGUUGAUGGCGACCGGCGCACGGGUGCGUAACGCGUAUGCAACUUGCCUUACAGAGGGGGAUAACCCGUUGAAAGACGGACUAAUACCGCAUACACUUGUUUGGUUGCAUGAUCGGGCAAGGAAAUAUUUAUAGCUGUAAGAUAGGCAUGCGUCCCAUUAGCUGGUUGGUGAGGUAACGGCUCACCAAGGCAACGAUGGGUAGGGGAACUGAGAGGUUUAUCCCCCACACUGGUACUGAGACACGGACCAGACUCCUACGGGAGGCAGCAGUGAGGAAUAUUGGUCAAUGGGNGAGAGCCUGAACCAGCCAAGUCGCGUGAAGGAUGA
rnacentral:rRNA from 1 species